GUGAACCCGCGAGGCGGAGCUUGCAGUGAGCCAAGAUCGCACCACUGCACUCCAGCCUGGGCGACAGAGCAAGACUCUAUCUAAAAAAAAAAAAAAUUAUUAAUGUAAACUAUUGCCUGGUUUUUAGACUUCAAUUCUGAUUUAAUGUCAAAAUUGUAUCAAUUCCCUAAUGCCAAAGAUUACUACUUGACACUAACACAUUUCUAUUUAUUUUUCCUUCAACUGUGCCAGUGGACUCUGGUUCAAUUUAAUUUUUUGAAAUUUAACGUGCUGCAGAACUUGGGAACAUUUUAUGGUUCUCAUCCAUGGCACUGGUACUUCAGUCAAGGAUUUCCAGUUAUCUUGGGUACUCACUUACCCUUCUUUAUUCAUGGCUGCUAUCUAGCACCAAAGAGAUACCGUAUACUUUUGGUGACUGUGCUGUGGACACUGCUUGUUUAUAGCAUGUUGAGCCACAAAGAAUUCAGGUUUAUUUAUCCAGUUUUACCAUUCUGUAUGGUGUUCUGUGGAUACUCAUUAACCCACCUGAAAACAUGGAAGAAACCAGCUCUAAGUUUCCUGUUUUUAUCAAAUUUGUUCCUCGCCCUUUAUACUGGUUUAGUUCAUCAACGAGGUACUCUUGAUGUCAUGAGUCAUAUUC
rnacentral:sRNA from 1 species